UACGAAGGGGGCUAGCGUUGUUCGGAUUUACUGGGCGUAAAGCGCACGUAGGCGGAUCGUUAAGUCGGGGGUGAAAUCCUGGAGCUCAACUCCAGAACUGCCUUCGAUACUGGCGAUCUUGAGUCCGGAAGAGGUGAGUGGAACUCCUAGUGUAGAGGUGGAAUUCGUAGAUAUUCGGAGGAACACCAGUGGCGAAGGCGGCUCACUGGCUCGGUACUGACGCUGAGGUGCGAAAGCGUGGGGAGCAAACAGG
rnacentral:rRNA from 1 species